rnacentral:rRNA from 1 species
GACGAACCGUGCGAACGUUAUUCGGAAUCACUGGGCUUAAAGUGCGUGUAGGCGGGCCGCCACGUCGGCUGCUGAAAUCCCCCGGCUCAACCGGGGAAGUGGCACCGAUACGAGCGGCCUCGAGGGGGGUAGGGGGGCCUGGAACUUCCGGUGGAGCGGUGAAAUGCGUUGAGAUCGGAAGGAACGCCCGUGGCGAAAGCGAGGCCCUGGACCCUUACUGACGCUGAGACGCGAAAGCCAGGGGAGCGAACGGG